rnacentral:sRNA from 1 species
UAAAGGAAAAAAGGCGGAGCUUCAGCCAUGGUAUAACAUAUUCAUUUUCAUGUUAUUCCAUGGCUGAAGCUCCACCUUUUUUUUUUUUUUUUAAA